rnacentral:lncRNA from 1 species
CAUACCUGCAAAUGAUCUUGGAGAAUACGUCUCAGAAGGGAUUUGUCAUCUGGAAGGAACAAGUUUGGAGUCCUGACAAAAUUUUAUUUCUUAUGGAGAUGCUGUCAACUGUAGGCUGCUCCUUAACUUCAUACCAUGUAGGAUGAAAUGCAGAACGAAAUGGAAGAUGUCAAACUAUGAAAAGUUAUGUCUUAGAAGUAAUAAAAGAACACACUAAAAGCGUAAGUUUUCUUUGGAGUUUUCUUCUUGGGCAGUGUU